CUGCUGAACGCUUAAAGGGCUCCAUUUUCGCGGGCUUUGUGCCCGAUAGUCUCGCGAGACCCGUGCGGCCAUUUUGUGGGUAAUCGGUUUCGUGGAGUACAACACCUAUCAAGAGAAGGCUCUAGCUCUAACAAGCUCAUUAUUAAUACUGCUGAGGUGGAAUUCGUUUGGGACCUUCACAGGUUGGUGUCAUUGCCCCUGUGGAGUGGGACUGCCAGUAGGGUUUAGCCCAAUAUCCUGGCUAGGGGUGAGCCCCCAUUGAGUGCUGCAUAGC